GUUUAUUUUUGUCACAAAAGAAACCUAACCUUUUAAUUCUUGAUCCGAUCCCAAACCUUUUGCCCUAAUUUUGGUUGGCGGCGUAGCAGCUGUGCGAGGAGGACGGAAGACGUUUCUGGCGAUUUCGGUCCAGGUGUAUAUUAGAUGUGUUUGAGAGACACUCGACGUCUUUAUCAACCUUUGUUUGAACAUCUUCAGAUAGGGAGGACGUAGACAAAGUUCGCAUGGCCAGGCAACACCUAGCAGUGUACCUACACCCGUCCCUGAUCAGCCUGUAGGACUAUCACAUUCAGCUUCGCAAGUACAGGCAGGACCAUUACAUUUCCCUACGCCAGUUCAGGCAGGACCAUCACAUUCCCCUUAGCCAGUACAUGUAGGACCUUCACAUUCACCUUCGCCAGUACAUGCAGGACCAUCACAUUCUCCUUCGCCAGUACCUACACCGUAAAAUUUGGCAGAUCUGAUUCCUACCAGAUACUCAUUUUUUGAGGUUCAAAAAUUCUGUACGUAUUGUUCAUGAAAUUAAUCAAAUCAUGAAUAAUCAUUGGAUGGGAGCUUCAAUGUCUUAUUCAAGCACUCAAUCAUCAAUGAAAGAGUUAUGGUGGAGCAAGUUUAAGCGGCUAUAUAAUUGGGACCCUGCUUAUGAAUUCGAAGUUAAGAAGAAUUUCAAGAAAAAUGUGGCGAUCACAUUCGCCAUACUCUUAAUCAUGCUAAACAAAGGGGUAAAAAAAUAAACAAUUUUUGGGCAACCAACGAAAGUAAACAACGAAAUCAAUAGAAUAGAUUAAAUCAAUCUUAUAAUUCUGGAGAUUUAUCUGUGACAUAUGCAGGAGGUUCAAUUAAUAUCGAUGAACAUAGAAGCAUAAUGGUAAAUAUUUAACUUUUCUACUAAUUUUUAACUCUCUCAAUAGUUUUUUAAUCUGUCACUAUUUUAUUAUUUCUAAUCAUGUUUUCUUAGACCAAAGAUAUGGGGAAAGAACCUUUAUUCACAGUGGCGGAUCUAGGAGGGAGCGGAGGUGUGCUUGAGCACUCCCUUGCUCCCAGAAAAUUUCACCAAUAUGCUGCAGUUCGAGGGGCAGCGAGAAGGAAGACAAGCUCCAGCUCCCUUCUUUGAGCACCCUCUUCCUUUUUUGUAUGGAUCCGUCACUAUUUAUUCAUAGAAAUUUUCACCAAAACUUUUACAAAAAAAGAACAAGUCUUGGAGCAGAGCUAGAGCAAAAGCAACAAAUGUUUGAAUUAAUUAAAAGUAUGUGUUUCUAAAUUAUUGUUAUAAUAAAUUUAUUUAAUUUUAUAAUUACAAUACAGGACAAAUACGAUGAGCUUAAUAUAACACAUAGAAGUUCAUGUGUUAGUGAGGAAAUUGAGUUAUGUGUCAAUAAUAAUUUAGAUUUAUGGCUAGAGGCUAGUCGGGAACAGAAAAGGGGAAGGAUAUUAGGAAUGAUUUCUUUAAGCAAAAAUUAUAGAGUUUCCCAUAAAUCCUUUUCCACCCUAGCAGCAGUCAUGACUCAGCUCAAUUCCUUGACUAAAGAGAUUUCACAUUUAAAGGGCAUAAUAUUAGAAAGAGAUGAAGAAAGAAGACCUAGAGAUGCAAAAAUGAGAGCUAGCUAGGAAGAAAUGAGAGCUCUGUGCCAACAACAAAAUUUAAUUAUGAAAUAUCUUCAGUUAAGUUUCGCUCCUUUCGGUUUUGGUGAUAUUGGUGAUGAUGACGACGA